rnacentral:misc_RNA from 1 species
UUGAAUAAACUUGGCGUGGUUGAGCUGACUCUCUCGGGAGUAUGUGCUCGCUUGUCAUCUUUAUCUUUCCACCUGUGCACUUUUUGUAGAUUUGGAUGUAACUUUCUGAGGCAACUCAGUUGGGAGGAAUGCUAUUUCGAUGGCUUUCCUUGUAUGUCCAAGUCUAUGUUUUUCAUAUACUCCAAGUAUGUAACAGAAUGUAUCACUGGGCCUUGUGCCUAUAAACCUUAUA